rnacentral:rRNA from 1 species
CAGUCGCCGCGGUAAUACGUAGGUGGCAAGCGUUGUCCGGAAUUAUUGGGCGUAAGGGGCUCGCAGGCGGUUUCUUAAGUCUGAUGUGAAAGCCCCCGGCUCAACCGGGGAGGGUCAUUGGAAACUGGGAAACUUGAGUGCAGAAGAGGAGAGUGGAAUUCCACGUGUAGCGGUGAAAUGCGUAGAGAUGUGGAGGAACACCAGUGGCGAAGGCGACUCUCUGGUCUGUAACUGACGCUGAGGAGCGAAAGCGUGGGGAGCGAACAGGAUUAGAUACCCCAGUAGUCCCUGUCUCUUAUAC